rnacentral:rRNA from 1 species
GCGUGAGUGAUGAAGGCCUUAGGGUUGUAAAGCUCUUUCGACGGGGACGAUAAUGACGGUACCCGUAGAAGAAGCCCCGGCUAACUUCGUGCCAGCAGCCGCGGUAAUACGAAGGGGGCUAGCGUUGUUCGGAAUUACUGGGCGUAAAGCGCACGUAGGCGGACAUUUAAGUUGGAGGUGAAAGCCUUGGGCUCAACCCAAGAAUUGCCUUUGAUACUGGAUGUCUCGAGACCGGGAGAGGUGAGUGGAAUUCCGAGUGUAGAGGUGAAAUUCGU